rnacentral:rRNA from 1 species
GACGAACGCUGGCGGCGUGCCUAAUACAUGCAAGUAGAACGCUGAAGAAAGGAGCUUGCUUCUUUUGGAUGAGUUGCGAACGGGUGAGUAACGCGUAGGUAACCUGCCUUGUAGCGGGGGAUAACUAUUGGAAACGAUAGCUAAUACCGCAUAACAGCUUUUGACACAUGUUAGAAGCUUGAAAGAUGCAAUUGCAUCACUACGAGAUGGACCUGCGUUGUAUUAGCUAGUAGGUAGGGUAACGGCCUACCUAGGCGACGAUACAUAGCCGACCUGAGAGGGUGAUCGGCCACACUGGGACUGAGACACGGCCCAGACUCCUACGGUAGGCAGCAGUAGGGAAUCUUCGGCAAUGGGGGCAACCCUGACCGAGCAACGCCGCGUGAGUGAAGAAGGUUUUCGGAUCGUAAAGCUCUGUUGUAAGAGAAGAAUGUGUGUGAGAGUGGAAAGUUCACACAGUGACGGUAACUUACCAGAAAGGGACGGCUAACUACGUGCCAGCAGCCGCGGUAAUACGUAGGUCCCGAGCGUUGUCCGGAUUUAUUGGGCGUAAAGCGAGCGCAGGCGGUUUAAUAAGUCUGAAGUUAAAGGCAGUGGCUUAACCAUUGUUCGCUUUGGAAAC